rnacentral:rRNA from 1 species
AGAGACAGCAGCCGCCGCGGUAAUACGAGGGGGCAAGCGUUGUUCGGAAUUAUUGGGCGUAAAGGGUGCGUAGGCGGUUUGGCAAGUUUGGUGUGAAAUCUUCGGGCUCAACUCGAAGUCUGCAUCGAAAACUGCCGGGCUUGAGUAUGGGAGAGGUGAGUGGAAUUUCCGGUGUAGCGGUGAAAUGCGUAGAUAUCGGAAGGAACACCUGUGGCGAAAGCGGCUCACUGGACCAUAACUGACGCUGAUGCACGAAAGCUAGGGGAGCAAACAGGAUUAGAUACCCCGGUAGUCCCUGUCUCUUAUACA